GACGAACGCUGGCGGCGUGCUUAACACAUGCAAGUCGAACGGAAAGGCCCUGCUUUUGUGGGGUGCUCGAGUGGCGAACGGGUGAGUAACACGUGAGUAACCUGCCCUUGACUUUGGGAUAACUUCAGGAAACUGGGGCUAAUACCGGAUAGGAGCUCCUGCUGCAUGGUGGGGGUUGGAAAGUUUCGGCGGUUGGGGAUGGACUCGCGGCUUAUCAGCUUGUUGGUGGGGUAGUGGCUUACCAAGGCUUUGACGGGUAGCCGGCCUGAGAGGGUGACCGGCCACAUGGGGACUGGGAAACGGCCCAGCCCCCUCCGGGGGGAAGGAGGGGGGAAUAUUGCAAAAGGGGGGGAAGCCUGAUGGAGCAACGCCGCGGGGGGGAUGAAGGCCUUGGGGUUGAAAACCGCUUUCCCCUGGGACGAAGGGUGAGGGAGGGUAAGGGGAAAAGAAGCACCGGCAAACUACG
rnacentral:rRNA from 1 species